rnacentral:misc_RNA from 1 species
GAUGAAGAACGCAGCGAAAUGCGAUAAGUAAUGUGAAUUGCAGAAUUCAGUGAAUCAUCGAAUCUUUGAACGCACAUUGCGCCCCCUGGUAUUCCGGGGGGCAUGCCUGUCCGAGCGUCAUUACAACCCUCAAGCUCAGCUUGGUGUUGGGCCCCGCCGCCCCGGCGGGCCCUAAAGUCAGUGGCGGUGCCGUCCGGCUCCGAGCGUAGUAAUUCUUCUCGCUCUGGAGGUCCGGUCGUGUGCUCGCCAGCAACCCCCAAUUUUUUUCAGGUUGACCUCGGAUCAGGUAGGGAUACCCGCUGAACUUAAGCAUACCAAUAAGCGGAGGA